GACGAACGCUGGCGGCGUGCUUAACACAUGCAAGUCGAACGGAAAGGCCCUGCUUUUGUGGGGUGCUCGAGUGGCGAACGGGUGAGUAACACGUGAGUAACCUGCCCUUGACUUUGGGAUAACUUCAGGAAACUGGGGCUAAUACCGGAUAGGAGCUCCUGCUGCAUGGUGGGGGUUGGAAAGUUUCGGCGGUUGGGGAUGGACUCGCGGCUUAUCAGCUUGUUGGUGGGGUAGUGGCUUACCAAGGCUUUGACGGGUAGCCGGCCUGAGAGGGUGACCGGCCACCUUGGGACUGCGAUACGGCCCAGACUCCUACGGGGGGCAGCAGUGGGGAAUAUUGCACAAUGGGCGGACGCCUGAUGCAGCAACGCCGCGUGCGGGAUGACGGCCUUCGGGUUGUAAACCGCUUUCGCCUGUGACGAAGCGUGAGUGACGGUAAUGGGUAAAGAAGCACCGGCUAACUACGUG
rnacentral:rRNA from 1 species